rnacentral:rRNA from 1 species
UACGAAGGGGGCUAGCGUUGUUCGGAAUCACUGGGCGUAAAGCGCGCGUAGGCGGCUAUGCAAGUCAGGGGUGAAAUGCCAAAGCUUAACUUUGGAACUGCCUUUGAAACUGCAUAGCUUGAGACUCGGAGGGGAUAGCGGAAUUUCUAAUGUAGCGGUGAAAUGCGUAGAUAUUAGAAGGAACACCGGUGGCGAAGGCGGCUAUCUGGACGAGUACUGACGCUGAGGCGCGAAAGCGUGGGGAUCAAACAGG